GUCAGGUGUAGCACAGUGGUUUGAGUGUUGGACUAUGACUCUGGAGACCAGGGUUUGAUUUCCUGGUCAGCCA